rnacentral:rRNA from 1 species
AAAUUGAAGAGUUUGAUCAUGGCUCAGAUUGAACGCUUGCGGCAGGCCUAACACAUGCAAGUCGAACGGUAACAGGAAGCAGCUUGCUGCUU